CAUCACUACGCUAGAUGCAUAUCAAUAAGCGGAGGAAAAGAAACUAACAAGGAUUCCCCUAGUAACGGCGAGUGAAGCGGGAAGAGCUCAAAUUUGAAAUCUUAAAGGGUUUCCCUUUACGAAUUGUAGUUUAAAGGAAGUGUUUUCUGUUGGAGUUUCGGUAAAAGUUCUUUGGAAUAGGACAUCAUAGAGGGUGAGAAUCCCGUAUUUGACCGUUACUUUCCAGCUGUGUGAUACACUUUCAAAGAGUCGGAUUGUUUGGGAAUGCAGUCCAAAGAUGGGUGGUAAAUUUCAUCUAAAGCUAAAUAUUGGCGAGAGACCGAUAGGGAACAAGUACCGUGAGGGAAAGAUGAAAAGAACUUUGAAAAGAGAGUUAAACAGUACGUGAAAUUGUCAAAAGGGAAGCGUUUGACACCAGUGUUGUUUAGUUGAAAAUCAAUUCAAUAAUUUUUGAUUCUAAGUAGUAUUGACUUCAUCAGCUUGCUGCUUUCUUUCUCAGAAAUUAUUUAAUGCACUUUUCAGUUAACAAGUCAACAUCAAUUUCUUUUGUUGUAAAAGGGUAAGAGGAAGGUGGCUUGCGCUUCGGCUCAAGUGUUUAUAGCCUUUUAUCUCUGCAAUCGGAGAGAUUGAGGUCUGCAGCGUAGAUCCUUCGGGGUUAGAUACAUUUGUGCUAAGCUAUAGCCUUGUAUAGACAACUUGUUGACUAUGCUCAGUCAUGUAGCUUACUCGCUUAUGCUAUUUUACCUACGCUUAGGAUGUUGACGCGCGUGUGUGCGUG
rnacentral:rRNA from 1 species